AGAGUUUGAUCAUGGCUCAGGACUAACGCUGGCGGCGUGCCUAACACAUGCAAGUCGAACGAAGUAGCAAUACUUAGUGGCAGACGGGUGAGUAACACGUAGUCAACCUACCUUUUAGUGGGGGAUAACUAGCCGAAAGGUUAGCUAAUACCGCAUACGAUCGUCGCGUGGCAUCACAUGACGAUGAAAGGAGCAAUCCG
rnacentral:rRNA from 1 species